UGUGAGCUCGAUGAGUAGGGCGGGACACGUGGUAUCCUGUCUGAAUAUGGGGGGACCAUCCUCCAAGGCUAAAUACUCCUGACUGACCGAUAGUGAACCAGUACCGUGAGGGAAAGGCGAAAAGAACCCCGGCGAGGGGAGUGAAAAAGAACCUGAAACCGUGUACGUACAAGCAGUGGGAGCACAGAGCAAUCUGUGUGACUGCGUACCUUUUGUAUAAUGGGUCAGCGACUUAUAUUCUGUAGCAAGGUUAACCGAAUAGGGGAGCCGAAGGGAAACCGAGUCUUAACUGGGCGUUAAGUUGCAGGGUAUAGACCCGAAACCCGGUGAUCUAGCCAUGGGCAGGUUGAAGGUUGGGUAACACUAACUGGAGGACCGAACCGACUAAUGUUGAAAAAUUAGCGGAUGACUUGUGGCUGGGGGUGAAAGGCCAAUCAAACCGGGAGAUAGCUGGUUCUCCCCGAAAGCUAUUUAGGUAGCGCCUCGUGAAUUCAUCUCCGGGGGUAGAGCACUGUUUCGGCAAGGGGGUCAUCCCGACUUACCAACCCGAUGCAAACUGCGAAUACCGGAGAAUGUUAUCACGGGAGACACACGGCGGGUGCUAACGUCCGUCGUGAAGAGGGAAACAACCCAGACCGCCAGCUAAGGUCCCAAAGUCAUGGUUAAGUGGGAAACGAUGUGGGAAGGCCCAGACAGCCAGGAUGUUGGCUUAGAAGCAGCCAUCAUUUAAAGAAAGCGUAAUAGCUCACUGGUCGAGUCGGCCUGCGCGGAAGAUGUAACGGGGCUAAACCAUGCACCGAAGCUGCGGCAGCGACACUGUGUGUUGUUGGGUAGGGGAGCGUUCUGUAAGCCUGUGAAGGUGUGCUGUGAGGCAUGCUGGAGGUAUCAGAAGUGCGAAUGCUGACAUAAGUAACGAUAAAGCGGGUGAAAAGCCCGCUCGCCGGAAGACCAAGGGUUCCUGUCCAACGUUAAUCGGGGCAGGGUGAGUCGACCCCUAAGGCGAGGCCGAAAGGCGUAGUCGAUGGGAAACAGGUUAAUAUUCCUGUACUUGGUGUUACUGCGAAGGGGGGACGGAGAAGGCUAUGUUGGCCGGGCGACGGUUGUCCCGGUUUAAGCGUGUAGGCUGGUUUUCCAGGCAAAUCCGGAAAAUCAAGGCUGAGGCGUGAUGACGAGGCACUACGGUGCUGAAGCAACAAAUGCCCUGCUUCCAGGAAAAGCCUCUAAGCAUCAGGUAACAUCAAAUCGUACCCCAAACCGACACAGGUGGUCAGGUAGAGAAUACCAAGGCGCUUGAGAGAACUCGGGUGAAGGAACUAGGCAAAAUGGUGCCGUAACUUCGGGAGAAGGCACGCUGAUAUGUAGGUGAAGUCCCUCGCGGAUGGAGCUGAAAUCAGUCGAAGAUACCAGCUGGCUGCAACUGUUUAUUAAAAACACAGCACUGUGCAAACACGAAAGUGGACGUAUACGGUGUGACGCCUGCCCGGUGCCGGAAGGUUAAUUGAUGGGGUCAGCGCAAGCGAAGCUCUUGAUCGAAGCCCCGGUAAACGGCGGCCGUAACUAUAACGGUCCUAAGGUAGCGAAAUUCCUUGUCGGGUAAGUUCCGACCUGCACGAAUGGCGUAAUGAUGGCCAGGCUGUCUCCACCCGAGACUCAGUGAAAUUGAACUCGCUGUGAAGAUGCAGUGUACCCGCGGCAAGACGGAAAGACCCCGUGAACCUUUACUAUAGCUUGACACUGAACAUUGAGCCUUGAUGUGUAGGAUAGGUGGGAGGCUUUGAAGUGUGGACGCCAGUCUGCAUGGAGCCGACCUUGAAAUACCACCCUUUAAUGUUUGAUGUUCUAACGUGGACCCGUGAUCCGGGUUGCGGACAGUGUCUGGUGGGUAGUUUGACUGGGGCGGUCUCCUCCUAAAGAGUAACGGAGGAGCACGAAGGUUGGCUAAUCCUGGUCGGACAUCAGGAGGUUAGUGCAAUGGCAUAAGCCAGCUUGACUGCGAGCGUGACGGCGCGAGCAGGUGCGAAAGCAGGUCAUAGUGAUCCGGUGGUUCUGAAUGGAAGGGCCAUCGCUCAACGGAUAAAAGGUACUCCGGGGAUAACAGGCUGAUACCGCCCAAGAGUUCAUAUCGACGGCGGUGUUUGGCACCUCGAUGUCGGCUCAUCACAUCCUGGGGCUGAAGUAGGUCCCAAGGGUAUGGCUGUUCGCCAUUUAAAGUGGUACGCGAGCUGGGUUUAGAACGUCGUGAGACAGUUCGGUCCCUAUCUGCCGUGGGCGCUGGAGAACUGAGGGGGGCUGCUCCUAGUACGAGAGGACCGGAGUGGACGCAUCACUGGUGUUCGGGUUGUCAUGCCAAUGGCACUGCCCGGUAGCUAAAUGCGGAAGAGAUAAGUGCUGAAAGCAUCUAAGCACGAAACUUGCCCCGAGAUGAGUUCUCCCUGACCCUUUAAGGGUCCUGAAGGAACGUUGAAGACGACGACGUUGAUAGGCCGGGUGUGUAAGCGCAGCGAUGCGUUGAGCUAACCGGUACUAAUGAACCGUGAGGCUUAACCUUACAACGCCGAAGGUGUUU
rnacentral:rRNA from 1 species